rnacentral:lncRNA from 1 species
UCUUUUAUUAAGAAAAAUGUAACUGAAAGCAACUAGAAUGAAAAAUCUAAAGGACACCAAUCCAAUACCAGACAGGAAGUGCUAGUAUAGAGAUUCUUGGGUCUCCCUGAAUGGCAAUAUUAUCCAUGCAUUGCACUUAAAUCAACUAGAAGCCUCAGUUCAUUGAUGUUCUACCUACCAUUUUUUACAACACAUUAAUGGGUGAUAUGAACCUGAGAAAAGCU